rfam:Oryza glaberrima chromosome 1 Oglab01_0018_16, whole genome shotgun sequence.
AAUAAAUACAGUUUUAGCACUGUUCAUGUUCAACAUUUAACCGUUCGUUUUAUUUGAAAAAAGAUUAUGAUUAGUAUUUUUAUUGUUAUUAGAUGAUAAAACAUGAAUAAUACUUUAUGUGUGACUAAUUUUUUUUAGUAUUUUUUUAUAAAUUUUUCAAAUAAGACGGAUGAUCAAAGCACUAAACACGAAUAUUUAUGGCUACACUUAUU